rnacentral:rRNA from 1 species
AAGACCUCGCGCUAUUAGAGCGGCCGAUGCCCGAUUAACUAGUUGGUGAGGUAAUGGCCCACCAAGGCAACGAUCGGUAGCUGGUCUGAGAGGAUGAUCAGCCACACUGGGACUGAGACACGGCCCAGACUCCUACGGGAGGCAGCAGUGGGGAAUUUUGGACAAUGGGCGAAAGCCUGAUCCAGCCAUGCCGCGUGAGUGAAGAAGGCCUUCGGGUUGUAAAGCUCUUUCAGCCGGAACGAAAUCGUCCGGGCUAAUACUCCGGAUGGAUGACGGUACUGGAAGAAGAAGCACCGGCUAACUACGUGCCAGCAGCCGCGGUAAUACGUAGGGUGCAGGCGUUAAUCGGAAUUACUGGGCGUAAAGCGUGCGCAGGCGGCUUUCCAAGUCAGAUGUGAAAUCCCCGGGCUUAACCUGGGAACU